AACGAACGCUGGCGGCAGGCUUAACACAUGCAAGUCGAACGCCCUCUUCGGAGGGAGUGGCAGACGGGUGAGUAACGCGUGGGAACCUACCCAGUAGUACGGAAUAACUCAGGGAAACUUGUGCUAAUACCGUAUACGCCCUACGGGGGAAAGAGUUUAUCGCUAUUGGAUGGGCCCGCGUUGGAUUAGUUUGUUGGUGAGGUAACGGCUCACCAAGGCUACGAUCCAUAGCUGGUCUGAGAGGAUGAUCAGCCACACUGGGACUGAGACACGGCCCAGACUCCUACGGGAGGCAGCAGUGGGGAAUAUUGGACAAUGGGGGAAACCCUGAUCCAGCCAUGCCGCGUGAGUGAAGAAGGCCUUAGGGUUGUAAAGCUCUUUCGCUAGGGAAGAUAAUGACGGUACCUAGUAAAGAAGCCCCGGCUAACUUCGUG
rnacentral:rRNA from 1 species